CUCAAAGCUCUUGAAGAGAAAAUUGUUGUACGUCGCAUUGGCUUCAAUUUGAGCUAGAUAUCAUCCAAUAAGGAGAAGAUUUUAUGUGGUGCUGCAAAUUUAAGGUACAGAUACUCAUUUUGGAGAGCCGCCACCUUAGGAUUCUACUCAACGGGUUGAAGUGCUCCAUUGUCUCGGAGCCUAAACUUUUGCGAUGCCUCCAAGAAAAGCGACAGCUGCCCAAAAGGGAAAGUCAGUAGCAGGAGAGACUAGCCGGACCCCGAGGAUUACUAGGGCCCGUGCCCAGUCUAUGCCUGAGGUUGUGCUCCAGUCGGCGAGCUCUACUACGC